rnacentral:rRNA from 1 species
UACGUAGGGCGCAAGCGUUAUCCGGAAUUAUUGGGCGUAAAGAGCUCGUAGGCGGUUUGUCGCGUCUGCUGUGAAAGACCGGGGCUCAACUCCGGUUCUGCAGUGGGUACGGGCAGACUAGAGUGAUGUAGGGGGAGACUGGAAUUCCUGGUGUAGCGGUGAAACGCGCAGAUAUCAGGAGGAACACCGAUGGCGAAGGCAGGUCUCUGGGCCACUACUGACGCUGAGAAGCGAAAGCAUGGGGAGCGAACAGG